UACGAAGGGGGCUAGCGUUGCUCGGAAUCACUGGGCGUAAAGGGUGCGUAGGCGGGUUUUUAAGUCAGAGGUGAAAUCCUGGAGCUCAACUCCAGAACUGCCUUUGAUACUGAAAGUCUUGAGUAUGGGAGAGGUGAGUGGAACUGCGAGUGUAGAGGUGAAAUUCGUAGAUAUUCGCAAGAACACCAGUGACGAAGGCGGCUCACUGGCCCAUAACUGACGCUGAGGUGCGAAAGCGUGGGGAGCAAACAGG
rnacentral:rRNA from 1 species